UGCAACUUGCAUCUAUCUCUUGCUCU
rnacentral:piRNA from 1 species